rnacentral:tRNA from 1 species
GCCACCGUAGCUCAGCCGGCAGAGCAACCGCCUCGUAAGCGGUGGGUCACGGGUUCAAAUCCCGUCGGUGGCU